ACAGAGGGUGCAAGCGUUAAUCGGAAUUACUGGGCGUAAAGCGCGCGUAGGUGGUUAUGUAAGUUGAAUGUGAAAUCCCCGGGCUCAACCUGGGAACUGCAUCCAAAACUGCAUGGCUAGAGUAUGGUAGAGGGUGGUGGAAUUUCCUGUGUAGCGGUGAAAUGCGUAGAUAUAGGAAGGAACAUCAGUGGCGAAGGCGACCACCUGGACUAAUACUGACACUGAGGUGCGAAAGCGUGGGGAGCAAACAGG
rnacentral:rRNA from 1 species